UAGGGAAUCUUCGGCAAUGGACGAAAGUCUGACCGAGCAACGCCGCGUGAGUGAAGAAGGUUUUCGGAUCGUAAAACUCUGUUGUUAGAGAAGAACAAGGACGUUAGUAACUGAACGUCCCCUGACGGUAUCUAACCAGAAAGCCACGGCUAACUACGUGCCAGCAGCCGCGGUAAUACGUAGGUGGCAAGCGUUGUCCGGAUUUAUUGGGCGUAAAGCGAGCGCAGGCGGUUUCUUAAGUCUGAUGUGAAAGCCCCCGGCUCAACCGGGGAGGGUCAUUGGAAACUGGGAGACUUGAGUGCAGAAGAGGAGAGUGGAAUUCCAUGUGUAGCGGUGAAAUGCGUAGACAUAUGGAGGAACACCAGUGGCGAAGGCGGCUCUCUGGUCUGUAACUGACGCUGAGGCUCGAAAGCGUGGGGAGCAAACAGG
rnacentral:rRNA from 1 species